CGAACGCUGGCGGCGCGCUUAACACAUGCACGUCGAGCGAUGAAAUUUCGACAGAUCCCUUCGGGGUGAAGAUGAAAUGGAUUAGCGGCGGACGGGUGAGUAACACGUGAGUAACCUGCCUUUGACAUUGGGAUAGCCUCGGGAAACUGGGAUUAAUACCAAAUGACACUAACUGAUCACAUGAUCAAUUAGUCAAAGAAAUUCGGUCAAAGAUGGACUCGCGGCUGAUUAGCUAGUUGGUGAGGUAACGGCCCACCAAGGCGACGAUCAGUAGCCGGCCUGAGAGGGUGAUCGGCCACAUUGGAACUGAGACACGGUCCAAACUCCUACGGGAGGCAGCAGUGGGGAAUAUUGCACAAUGGGGGAAACCCUGAUGCAGCGACGCCGCGUGAGCGAAGAAGGACUUAGGGUCGUAAAGCUCUUUUAUGAGGGAAGAUAAUGACGGUACCUCAAGAAAAAGCCCCGGCUAACUACGUG
rnacentral:rRNA from 1 species